CGAAGUACUCCCAUUAGGAUCUACGACUCUCUCCUCUUGAGGGGUGCCACUGGUCAGAUGGGGAGUGCUACCAUCCCGUGGUUGUGAUGUCUCUCUUGCAAUUUCUUGAGUAGUUCUUGUCAUUCUACGGGGAGGCAUGAUAACCUUGUAGUAGUAAAACCUUAUUAAAUUCAUUUAUCUAUUUGUUAGGAUGGGUUUAUUAUGAUUCUCAUACUUUAAUAUCCCAAUAUUUUUAAUGUUUACCCACCUACACUCAUACUAUGUCUAAUUCUAUGUAUCAUAAUUUAUCCACUUAUGCUCUGAUACCAUAUUAAUUGUCACGCCCCCGGCCCGA
rnacentral:lncRNA from 1 species